rnacentral:rRNA from 1 species
AUUGAACGCUGGCGGCAUGCCUUACACAUGCAAGUCGAACGGCAGCACGGGAGCAAUCCUGGUGGCGAGUGGCGAACGGGUGAGUAAUAUAUCGGAACGUGCCCGGUCGUGGGGAUAACGUAGCGAAAGCUACGCUAAUACCGCAUACGAUCUACGGAUGAAAGCGGGGGAUCGCAAGACCUCGCGCGAUUGGAGCGGCCGAUAUCAGAUUAGGUAGUUGGUGAGGUAAAGGCUCACCAAGCCGACGAUCUGUAGCUGGUCUGAGAGGACGACCAGCCACACUGGGACUGAGACACGGCCCAGACUCCUACGGGAGGCAGCAGUGGGGAAUUUUGGACAAUGGACGCAAGUCUGAUCCAGCAAUGCCGCGUGCAGGAUGAAGGCCU